rnacentral:other from 1 species
UACAUCCUGCGAUGUUCGUUUCGAUUCCUCGUUGUUUUGAACCAAUGAUGGUUUCUAGGGAGUUCAAUAUCGAGAUGCGGCUGACAUGCCCUCACCACGAGGGACCUCAAAAGCAACUCUGCGGACACCCACCUGCGAGAGUAGGUUCAGAAACAUAAGAAUCGGACGGCAUCGGCGGGUUUUUG